rnacentral:rRNA from 1 species
CGGACUGCUCAGUACACGUGGAUAACCUGCCCUUAGGUUCGGCAUAACUCCGGGAAACUGGAGAUAAUUCCGAAUAGGUCAAAUAUGCUGGAAUGCUUUUUGGCCAAAAGACUUCGGUUGCCUAAGGAUGGAUCUGCGGUCUAUCAGGUUGUAGUGGGUGUAACGUACCUACUAGCCUACGACGGAUAUGGGUUGUGAGAGCAAGAGCCCAGAGAUGGAUUCUGAGACAUGAAUCCAGGCCCUACGGGGCGCAGCAGGCGCGAAAACUUUACAAUGCGGGAAACCGCGAUAAGGGGACACCGAGUGCCAGCAUUUAUGUUGGCUGUCCACAUGUGUAAACGGCAUGUGUUAGCAAGGGCCGGGCAAGACCGGUGCCAGCCGCCGCGGUAACACCGGCGGCCCGAGUGGUAAUCACUUUUAUUGGGUCUAAAGGGUCCGUAGCCGGUUUGAUCAGUUCUUCGGGAAAUCUGACAGCUCAACUGUUAGGCUUCCGGGGAAUACUGUCAGACUUGGGACCGGGAGAGGUAAGAGGUACUACAGGGGUAGGAGUGAAAUCUUGUAAUCCCUGUGGGACCACCAGUGGCGAAGGCGUCUUACCAGAACGGGUCCGACGG